GACGAACGCUGGCGGCGUGCUUAACACAUGCAAGUCGAACGGAAAGGCCCCUUUGGGGGUACUCGAGUGGCGAACGGGUGAGUAACACGUGAGUAACCUGCCCUUGACUUCGGGAUAACUUCAGGAAACUGGGGCUAAUACCGGAUAGGAAUCCUUGCUGCAUGGUGGGGGUUGGAAAGCUUCGGCGGUUUUGGAUGGACUCGCGGCUUAUCAGCUUGUUGGUGGGGUAGUGGCUUACCAAGGCUUUGACGGGUAGCCGGCCUGAGAGGGCGACCGGCCACAUUGGGACUGAGAUACGGCCCAGACUCCUACGGGAGGCAGAAGUGGGGAAUAUUGCACAAUGGGCGGAAGCCUGAUGCAGCAACGCCGCGUGCGGGAUGACGGCCUUAGGGUUGUAAACCGCUUUCAGCAGGGGCGAAGCUUGUGGUGACGGUACCUGCAGAAGAAGCACCGGCUAACUACGUG
rnacentral:rRNA from 1 species